rnacentral:rRNA from 1 species
GACGAACGCUGGCGGCGUGCUUAACACAUGCAAGUCGAACGGAAAGGCCCUGCUUUUGUGGGGUGCUCGAGUGGCGAACGGGUGAGUAACACGUGAGUAACCUGCCCUUGACUUUGGGAUAACUUCAGGAAACUGGGGCUAAUACCGGAUAGGAGCUCCUGCUGCAUGGUGGGGGUUGGAAAGUUUCGGCGGUUGGGGAUGGACUCGCGGCUUAUCAGCUUGUUGGUGGGGUAGUGGCUUACCAAGGCUUUGAAGGGUAGCCGGCCUGAGAGGGUGGCCGGCCACAUGGGGACUGAGAUACGGCCCAGACUCCUACGGGAGGCAGCAGUGGGGAAUAUUGCACAAUGGGCGGAAGCCUGAUGCAGCAACGCCGCGUGCGGGAAGACGGCCUUCGGGUUGGAAACCGCUUUCGCCUGAGACGAAGCGUGAGUGACGGUAAUGGGUAAAGAAGCACCGGCUAACUACGUG